AGUGAACGCUGGCGGUAGGCCUAACACAUGCAAGUCGAACGGCAGCACAGUGAGUGCUUGCUCUUACGGGUGGCGAGUGGCGGACGGGUGAGGAAUACAUCGGAAUCUACUUUGUCGUGGGGGAUAACGUAGGGACACUUACGCUAAUACUGCAUACGACCUACGGGUGAAAGCAGGGGAUCUUCGGACCUUGCGCGAUUGUAUGAGCCGAGGUCGGAUUAGCUAGUUGGCGGGGUAAAGGCCCACCAAGGCGACGAUCCGUAGCUGGUCUGAGAGGAUGAUCAGCCACACUGGAACUGAGACACGGUCCAGACUCCUACGGGAGGCAGCAGUGGGGAAUAUUGGACAAUGGGCGCAAGCCUGAUCCAGCCAUACCGCGUGUGUGAAGAAGGCCUUCGGAUUGUAAAGCCCUUUUAGUGGGGAAGAAAAGCAGCAGGUUAAUACCUCGCUGUUCUGACGGUACCCAAAGAAUAAGCACCGGCUAACUUCGUG
rnacentral:rRNA from 1 species